rnacentral:rRNA from 2 species
AAACUUUCAACAACGGAUCUCUUGGCUCUGGCAUCGAUGAAGAACGCAGCGAAAUGCGAUAAGUAAUGUGAAUUGCAGAAUUUAGUGAAUCAUCGAAUCUUUGAACGCACAUUGCGCCCCUUGGUGUUCCGAGGGGCAUGCCUGUUCGAGCGUC